rnacentral:lncRNA from 1 species
UUGGGAGGCAGUUAAGGGGAUUCUGAACAUUGGGGAAUAAGCCGCGGUUCUCUGGCCAACCGCGGCCUAUUCCCUGGUCUCAGUAAAUUUUAAAAUUUUCAGGGUAUAUGCCGCGGUUCAGCGUCCAACCGCGGCAUAUAAGUUAAAAAAAAAUUUCAAAAAUGCCAUUUUGUUUUAUUUUUUUAAAAUGAAUAGGCCGCGGUUAUGUGUAGAACCGCGACCUAUUCCCCCUUUAUGUCGCGGUUAAGUGUAGAACCGCGACAGAUUCUCUUCUGAAGGUUAAAAAAACAAAAUUCACCAACAGUUCUUCUUCCCCACGCGAUUUCUGAAACAAUUUUUCUUCCCCGUGCGAUUUCCGUCCAGGCGCUUUGCUUCUCCGUCCAGUCUCUGCUUCUCCGUCCAGUCUCUACUUCUCCUUCCAUCUCCGCGCCAGACCCUGCUUCUCCGCCGCAACCGUGCCGGACCCUGCUUCUCCGCCGCAACCUUCUUCUCUCCGGUG